rnacentral:rRNA from 1 species
UACGUAGGGUGCGAGCGUUAAUCGGAAUUACUGGGCGUAAAGCGUGCGCAGGCGGUUAUGUAAGACAGAGGUGAAAUCCCCGGGCUCAACCUGGGAACUGCCUUUGUGACUGCAUGACUAGAGUACGGCAGAGGGGGAUGGAAUUCCGCGUGUAGCAGUGAAAUGCGUAGAGAUGCGGUGGAACACCGAUGGCGAAGGCAAUCCCCUGGGCCUGUACUGACGAUCAUGCACGAAAGAGUGGGGAGCAAACAGG